AACUCACAACCUCUCGGUUGGAAGUGAGGGUUGCUUACCAUCAGAGCAACCUCUCUUGUCUUUCGAAAAAACAACUGUAAGAAUCCUGGAUUCCUGAAUUAAUUUCUGCACUUUUUUCUGAUGUUCCUCUUCUUCCACAAGCUCUUCAUCAAACUUGAAUGCGCGAAUACCAGCAUUUACCAAAGCUAUAUGAAGAUGAUCUCCAAAUGUCUUUCUUAUUUCUUUACUU
rnacentral:lncRNA from 1 species